rnacentral:rRNA from 1 species
AUGGCUUUUGCAGGUUCAUCCACUACCCUCGCUGUCAAGGCAGCCUUCAUCGCCGCCAUGCUCGCCGUCCUGGUACUGCCUUCCAUGGGGCGCUGCCCGUCACUUGGGCCAGAGGCAGCGCCCACGCCUGCGCCGACACCGGCGAUACCGUGCAGCGACUGUGACGAAUGGGCAGCGCCCACGCCUGCGCCAGCACCGGCGAUACCAUGCAGCGACUGUGACGAAUGGGCGGCGCCCACGCCUGCGCGUACACCGGCGAUGCUGUGCAGCGCCUGUGACAAACGCUGCUUCGACGCGUGCUAUGCCAACGUCAAGGUUAUGUGCAACGACUCUUGCAACGUCAGGUUCUACGGAUGCAGCGGCUGUUGGAACUUAUACAUGCCCAAGUGCGUCAAACCCUGCGAGAGUGACUGCCGCGCUGCCGCCUGCGUCAGCGACUAA